CCGAGUUUACAACUCCCAAACCCUCUGUGAACAUACCACUUGUUGCCUCGGCGGAUCAGCCCGCUCCCGGUAAAAACGGGACGGCCCGCCAGAGGACCCCUAAACUCUGUUUCUAUAUGUAACUUCUGAGUAAAACCAUAAAUAAAUCA
rnacentral:misc_RNA from 1 species